rnacentral:rRNA from 1 species
UACCAGCACCCCGAGUGGUCGGGACGAUUAUUGGGCCUAAAGCAUCCGUAGCCGGUUUUACAAGUCCCCCGUUAAAUCCAGCUGCUUAACAGAUGGGCUGCGGAGGAUACUAUAAGACUAGGAGGCAGGAGAGGCAAGCGGUACUCAGUGGGUAGGGGUAAAAUCCGUUGAUCCAUUGAAGACCACCAGUGGCGAAGGCGGCUUGCCAGAAUGCGCUCGACGGUGAGGGAUGAAAGCUGGGGGAGCAACCGG